CUCCUCAUUCCUCCCGAGCGAUACAGUCAAAAGCUAGCAUUCGGGCGGCGGGCUGAGUAACGCGUGGGUAUCUACCCAUCAGAGGGGAUAAACACUGGGAAACACGUGAUAAUACCGCAUAUCAGUUUAUGCCUCAUGGCAUCAGAGCGAAAGGUGCUUUCGGGUGUCACUAAUGGAUGGACCCAUAGUGCAUUAGCUAGUUGGUGAGGUAACGGCUCACCAAGGCCACGAUGCAUAGCCGACCUGAGAGGGUGAUCGGCCACACUGGGACUGAGACACGGCCCAGACUCCUACGGGAGGCAGCAGUAGGGAAUAUUGGGCAAUGGACGCAAGUCUGACCGAGCCACGCCGCGUGAGUGAAGAAGGUUUUAGGAUCGUAAAACUCUGUUGUUAGAGAAGAACAAGGACGUUAGUAUCUGAACGUCCCCUGACGGUAUCUACCCAGAAAGCCACGGCUAACUACGUGCCAGCAGCCGCGGUAAUACGUAGGUGGCAAGCGUUGUCCGGAUUUAUUGGGCGUAAAGCGAGCGCAGGCGGUUUAUUAAGUCUGAUGUGAAAGCCCCCGGCUCAACCGGGGAGGGUCAUUGGAAACUGGGAGACUUGAGUGCAGAAGAGGAGAGUGGAAUUCCAUGUGUAGCGGUGAAAUGCGUAGAUAUAUGGAGGAACACCAGUGGCGAAGGCGCCUCUCUGGUCAUGUAACUGACGCUGAGGCUCGAAAUGCA
rnacentral:rRNA from 1 species